ensembl:miRNA
UAGGCAGUGUAAUUAGCUGAUUGUACUGUGGUGCUUACAAUCACUAACUCCACUGCCAUC